rnacentral:rRNA from 1 species
CGAGUAACGCGUGAGUAACCUGCCUUCAAGAGGGGGAUAACAUUCUGAAAAGAAUGCUAAUACCGCAUGACAUAUCGGAACCACAUGGUUUUGAUAUCAAAGAUUUUAUCGCUUGAAGAUGGACUCGCGUCCGAUUAGUUAGUUGGUGAGGUAACGGCUCACCAAGACCGCGAUCGGUAGCCGGACUGAGAGGUUGAACGGCCACAUUGGGACUGAGACACGGCCCAGACUCCUACGGGAGGCAGCAUG